rnacentral:rRNA from 1 species
GUGUAAAGGAUGUUCCGCCUAUUAAUUUACUUUAUUUAUGUUGGUGUAUAUCUGGUUUAAUAUUAUUGUUUAAUAAUUUAAUUUGUGUAUUGUUAAAUUAAGCCAAGUCUAUGUGCUGCUUAUUAAAGUAUUCAUGCGUUACAUUUAUAAGGUUACAUUUGUAAAAAUGUAAUAUUCAGGACUUAAAAGUAAUAUUAAAUUAAUU